rnacentral:rRNA from 5 species
UGUGCGGCUUCGGUCGUGUGGCAUCUCAA